rnacentral:lncRNA from 1 species
CCCGGCGCUGUCGCCGAUCGUGUACGAGUGCCUCAUCAACCCGCUCAUGCGCGGCCUGCCGACCAACCAGACGGUGGUGGACGAGAGCCUGGAGAAGCUCAAGAAGGUGCUGGAGGUCUACGAGGCGCGCCUCUCCCAGCACAAGUACCUCGCCGGGGACUUCGUCAGCUUCGCGGACCUCAACCACUUCCCCUACACCUUCUACUUCAUGGCCACGCCGCACGCCGCGCUCUUCGACUCGUACCCGCACGUCAAGGCAUGGUGGGAGAGCCUCAUGGCCAGGCCGGCCAUCAAGAAGCUCGCCGCUCAGAUGGUUCCCAAGAAGCCGUGAUCUGCUUAGGAGGGGUUUCGCGUCCGAGGAUAAGAUCUGAUCUGUAUGGCGUUUUCUUGUUG